UGCGAGAAGCCCCUUAAAGCUGCACCGUUCCUACAUUAAGCAUCGCCCGUAACAAUUAUAUAAACCUCACUGAACAGUUGCUUUAAAUGGCCGCAAGGAACAAAAUCAUGCCGGAUGUGGAUCAGAUAUUUUCAUCGUUGUGUUGUUUUGUGAAUUCAAAUAAGAACCAGAAGCAGCUUUGAAGGAAAUAUAGCAAAAUCUGGUACAGUUUAACGUCAGACAUCCUCCCUAAAAUGUGAAGAAUUUAGUACGUGGAGCACUCUCCAAUUAUCUCUCUGAUGUACAGCAAAUUACUGGCCACCCAAAAAACUGAUCGUAAAUAUGUAUUUGAAAAAAAAGAGACCCCUCAGAUUGCGAGGCCAUAAGAUGAACUUUAUUUAAUUUAUACCCAAGUCCAGCUUCUUCGCCUUUAUCUUCCCAGACCCUUGGGAUCGAAGAUGACUUUCUUCCAGUUCAGUGUUGUGUGUGCUGAAUUGAUUAAAUAUCCCGAUACUGCAACUGCCCACCCUGCCAC